rnacentral:sRNA from 1 species
AUGAGACGAGUUUCUGUCGAGGGGGUAUGUCCUGCUUGUCCAGAUUCUAUUCCGAGUGCUGUCAGAGCUAUUGCUUUUGUGUUGGUCAGUAUGGAACUGAACGCUUAUCCGGCUCACUCAGUCGCCGAGUGCCACCCGUAUCAUGUAAUACUGUUUGACCGAAUCUUGCUAUCACUACCCAUGUUCGUCGAACGUUCUUUCAGGUAAGGCUCGAUCGGUGUAUGCUCUUCGUCGAUAGCGGGAGACUGGCAUCUAUCAUUACUGCGUCAGCUUUUAUAUUCUUCAUGCAGCUACAGUUCUUGCAUACCGUUCCUGCGCCAGCGAUGCUGUUGAUGCAGCAGCUGUUAGUGCUCACACAGGCGGCUCCCUACGCAAAUCUUACCUUUGCGGCUCUUUGCAUAGUAGUAGACGUACUUGUAUGCAAUUGGCUUUACCGUCGAAGAGAUGAUCGCUUUUAAUUACCUAGUGCUUUUCACAUACUACCUCCAGCAUGCUUUCAUGGAUAUGUGCUUGAAGGCUCACCAUGGCGUUUGAGCGCGGGCUUUGGUGACGAUGGUAUGAACUGGUGAGCCGGCCAGGGCAAGGCAAACGCUGAGACAGGAAACGAGGAACUGGCGCUUGUUCAAUGCCGAGCGAACAUUGUCUAGAAGUGGUGGACGUGUCGCCGAAACAUGACCAGCAUACUCAUUUCGUGGGAGCACAUUCAUCAUCUUCUACACCAAAUCUCAUUGCGAAUUCGCGGCGCGCAGCAGGAAUUCCGUGGUCAGAACCGGUGACGUAGCUUUCGAAGCCGGCAGCUGGCCGGCAGCUGCCGCUCGUUCACAGCCGCAUCUUGUCUAUAAAGAUAGCUGCAUCUUUUGCAAGAUCGCGUCGGACUAGGCCCCGACACAGAAGAUCAGAUCAGGUGUUCCCAACUUCGAGUCUGGUCCUGUAUAGCUCGUGUAGCUGACAUCGUCAGGGUAUUGGUCCAGUCUGGUCAAUGUGCAUCUCGUGGCACUCUGCUAACAACCAAAGCCACUAGCACGGGUUUGGCGUACAGUGUCCAAACUCCGAUACAGCUAGGCCUCGAUGCGCUGUCAGUAAUAUUCAGCUGAUCGGCAAUCAGCCUGAUGAUGACUCUCGGUUCGUGCGGGCUUGGCUUGUCUCAGUCGAUUUCGUCGGCGACUAGGUCGCGUUACGCUCGCUGGCUGUCAGGGGACUGACCACCAGAUGCAGCUUAUGGCUGAUGGUAGUGGAUUGAGUACACGUUUCGAGUCACAGUAGAGUCUCGAAUUUGGCUAUGGUUAAGUUUAAGGCAUCCAUGAUAGAUAGGACAUGUCUUUUGACCAGUCCGGUAACGAUAGGCUUACAGAUAGUCUGGAUGAUAUCGCUGGCUUCCUUGUACACCUUCGUUUCACGACCUGCGAAAGAAUUGUUUCGUUGUGGCUACCGAGUAUCCUGUAACCAUGUAGAGACAUUAUCAAAUGUCAUACGCCAGUGGCCAGAAGGAAUCUUGCUAUCAACCAAUAAUCUAAACAAUUCAUUGUUUGCCGAGGCGGCCACGCCAAUCGAGCAUGAGAUCAACAGUCUCAAGAAUGACAGAAUCGUAGGUAGCCGGCAGAAUGUGAAGUCUCUCCAGUCAUAUUAGCAGGAUUCUAAGCUGGAGAGCACUUCUGAAAAGCAGGCUCAAAAUCAGUUCUUUAAACAGUAAUGUGGAGGUCAAGUCGAACACGUGUAUCAUCAUCACUAGAACAUGUCUUCAUGUAUCCAAACAAUUUUCAAAGGUCAUCCUUAGAUUCAAGGGGCUUCAAAGAUGCGCUCGUUUUCUCCCUAUCAGCAGCUUGUCGUAGGACGUAAUUUCCUGCAUACUUUGGCUUAUAUCGACAAAAGAGAGCGUGAGCUUGAUCCUGAUGGAUAGCCUACGGGGUAGGUGGAACUAAUUGGCCUCACACGCAGAGCACCUCAGACCAACUUCAGUGCCCGUCGUCCGGUCUUGCUGGAACCACUCUAAAACCCUUUUUGCCUCUGUACUAGAGGUCGAAGGGGUGACAUCUUGCACACGUGGUCUAAUAAAGCCGAUACUGUUCUUUCCUGCCAUGACUUUGAAACGUUCGCGCGCAACUUCACAGCGACGCAAUUUAAGGUCGAGGAGAAGCUCUGGCGCUUCGGGUGCGAGGAGUCAGACAAUUCUCCCCACUUAGAUCGCACCUCUGCUCACAACUCGUUUGAUUCCUACAGUGAUCGAAGUCUGCUUUACAUCGAGUAUAUCAAUGGCACGGCAGCAGUGACGGAGACAGCAGUAGAGCGGGAAUGGAGGCGACACAGAAGCAGCAACGAAGACUCGUCGCUAUGGCUCCAGCAUCACUCUUAUCUCGCCUUUGGCCUUAAACAUUAG